UACGUAGGGUGCGAGCGUUGUCCGGAAUUAUUGGGCGUAAAGAGCUCGUAGGCGGCCUGUCGCGUCGGUUGUGAAAGCCCGGGGCUUAACCCCGGGUCUGCAGUCGAUACGGGCAGGCUAGAGUUCGGUAGGGGAGAUCGGAAUUCCUGGUGUAGCGGUGAAAUGCGCAGAUAUCAGGAGGAACACCGGUGGCGAAGGCGGGUAGCUGGGCCAACACUGACGCUGAUGCGCGAAAGCCAGGGGAGCAAACGGG
rnacentral:rRNA from 1 species